ensembl:lncRNA
AGUAUGCUGCUAGCAGGAUGUCAGUGAGUAAUUGUACUGUGGAGAUAAGUAUCUAGUUGUCUAUAUAUAACUUUAUAUACGCAAGUAUUUAUCAUUGUUUUUUUGUUCCCUCUCUCCUUUUCUGUCUCUGUAAACAGUUUUUAUCUUAUCCCACCGGUUCUAUUUUUUUCCAGUUCUCUCCUUCCACCUGCUUGGGGGUGGAGUGAGCAAAUGCAGUGCUGAACUUUCUGCUGGAUUAAACCACAAUAAAUUCUGAAAGACUGUACAGUUUUAAACCUUUUUUUUUCUUACUUAAUGCUUUUUCUUACUUAAUGCUUUUAACUUUUCUUUUCUUACUUAUUUUCUUUCUUUUUAAUGAUUUUCAUUAGUGUGCUUAAUGUGAUGCAAAUGUUAAAACAACUUUCAAUUUCAAGUGAGUUCUGUGUGACCUUCCUUACCUCAGGAUACCAAAGACCUAGUUAACUUCAGUUGAGCUAAUAUGUAUAUUCAAAGUACUGUUGUGGAAAUACAGGUACAGGUAUUUAAAAUAAAUAAAUAAAUCACUAAGAUAAGAGAGUCCUUUUGAAGGUUGAAUAUGGAUCCCUAUUGGCAGGCAGGAGAAAUGUCCAUAGUUCUGCCUCUUUGGAUGUAUAAGAAUCAUUUGAACUAAACCCCAGUUGUCUUCAUCCUGUGUAUGUGACCAUUAAUUUAUACUGGAAAGAGGAUAAACAGGAAUAAGAGUAUUCACAGUGUAUUCUCUCUGAAUUGUACUUUUGAAUAAGUGCCUAGUAUAUCAUUCAGUUUUUUGUGAAGUAUAAACUUUGCCUUCAAGUGCUGAAUUCUAUUAUCAUAAACAGCAGUUUAUUAUUUGAAGUGACAUCUAUGAUUAGCUUAAAUAUCUAUCAAGUUUUAAAAGGCAAACUUGUACAGUGUAAAAGAAAAUGAUCUUCAUCUUAAGCUUUGCUUUAGCAGAGUCAAUGUUUAGAAAGCUGUCUACUGCAGUUUAAACAAAGAAAAUAUUAUUUCUAAAAUUGCAUUUGAGACAGUAGUGGACAUAAGAUUUUAAAAUAAAUAUUUAAAAACAUUUAUGAAAACCAGAUUUAAAGACAGUAUCAUACCACAAUUCUUCAAGAAGAGUCAACAAUUUAAGAACUCUUCAUCAGAACCAACCUGUAUUCAAUCUUUGUUCUAAAUUCAAGACUGAAACAUUUAUUGAAAAGCUGGGUUUUUUUUGUUUGUUUUAAGCUUUCCCGAUCAGAGACUGUGGCUGAAUCUGAUGAAAGUAUUCCAUUUUCCUUAAAUCAAGACAGCAAAUCAGGUAGCUAAGACUUAAUGUGUAUCUAUUAAGAACAACUUACAUUUUUUCUUCUUUACUGCAAUUGGUUUUGAGGAAUGGAGAAUGUUUAUGAAAAAAGAAUGCCUCUCUAUUUCUUAGCCGUUGUUUGCCAUUUCAUGAAUGCAUUUUUUUUCCUAAAUUUUAUCUUUAAUUAGAUUAGACUGUCAUAACUGUGAGAUUAGUGUAUAGUAAAUUCCUGUUUUCAGAAAUGUUAUUUCUUGUACCCAUCAUUCCUAAAACAAAACAGAACAAAAUUGCAAAAUUUUACGUGAACUCAGUUGAAGGUCAAACUAAUUUCUAAUUACUGGAAAAUACCUAAUUGUCAAUAAAUUACAAAGAGUCAUCAGACACAUUGUCCAGUCUAUAUUUGCAUAAGUGAUAUAGUUUCUAGAAUUUUUUAAAACACUUUGACUGAUAAAAAGCAAUCAUGUAACAAGUGACUUGGUUUUCCAGAGAAAAUAACUUUAGGUGAAUGUACUUUGCUGUGUAAAAGAGGCUGUUAGGUGGACAACUAGCUAGAAGCAAAAUAAUCCUCCUUUUGCAUUAAUUUGUGGUUGGAGCAAUGUGUCCACUUCUUUUGGAACCAGUGACACUUUGCAAAAGUUCAAACCAUUUAUUUUUAAUGCACAUUUUCGUUUUCUUAACGCGAUUACUAUAUUCUGUUUCUUUUUUUAAAAAAUAAGCAGCAUAAUAUUAUGUCUUUUAAAUUUUCUAUAACAAAUCUUGAAAAAAAAAAUUUGAUACUUUAUGGCUUAGGAUGGUAGUAAACAAAGGAAUUGAGUUUCCCAGCUUUUUUUUUUUUUUUUUUAAUUUCCACAACUGAUAGGAUAGGGGCAGUUUCCAAGUACAUGGCUAAAAAUACGUAUUUCCUAGGGGGGGAAAAAUUCUGUCCUAUGCUGAACAGCAACCAAUCUAUUAAUAACACACAGGCUUUGACUUUUCUGGGCUCUGUGACAAUCCAUUAACUGUAUGCAAAAUGGUUUGAGAUUCAUGCAAUAGGCUCAAUUUUUUAUGAGAUUCUCACAGAAAUGAUCACUUUUCCCAUCAAAAAUGUCAGAUUCAACAAACAAUUUUACUGAAAAAGAAAUUGUCAGUUGAAAUAUUUCUGUACACCUUUGCAACUUGAUUUGAAAGCUUUGAAGAACUAGUCAACAUCUUCUCAACAUGUUGUUAAUUAAACUAAUAGGCAGGUCAAGUCUGGUGCUGAUUAAUUCUCUCUUUUCAUGUUUCUUCUUAGAUCUGAUUAGAAAUAGUAUGCAUAAUUAUUUUUCUAAAAGUGGAUAAAGAACAUUGUUGAGCAUCUGCUAAUAUUUUAGGGAUAAACUGUUGUUUGUAUAUCUAUGACUGCUAGUUCUUUUCUCAUGUAGAUUCAAUAUUUUUGAUCUAUUUUUCCCAUUUUUGAUAGUUACUAGUACUUCUCAAUAUCUAGCUUAGUAAGAGACAUUUGAAAGGCUUUGUAGUAAAGGUUAGCUGAAAGCUUUCUACACUACUGUUGUCUGCUGAAGACUGGUGUGUUUCUAACAUUAACUUCUGUUCAUGAGGAGGAGGGGAAGAGACUUCUUUGAUAAUCAAGAAUAGUCUUUGGUUUGGUUGGUUAAAAGCUGUGUUGUGGCUCAUAUUCACCAGCUACUAGUGGUUUUUGAUUAUUCUGUGCACACUGAAAAUUACUAGAUCAUCAUGUUACUGAAGUUGCUUCACUGAGUUUUGCUCUGUGGAAGAGCACAACUCCCUGCAGUGAUAUAGUUUAGUUCACUGAUUUCAGUGGCAGUGGUGCAAGAGUUGAUUGUCUUAACUAAUUUCUACUCAAGCUUCUAGCAAUCAGGUACUUUUUUUUUUUAUAACAGAUUAAAUAACAUUAUCAUACAAAUCAUAGACAGUGUUGACAUAUCUCCUGUGGAGGCUAGACUGCGAUUCAUUGCAGAACCUAAAAAUGUUUCAAAAAAACUUUCUGGAUUUCAUUUACUUUUCCCAGGAUACUAUUCUGUUCUACAAAGGAAAGUUCUGCUCUUGCAGAUAAUUAAGAAUAUGAAUAUUUCCAGUGGUUUUAUGUCUCCAUACCUAAUACGUGUCUCAUAGAAUUUCUUCUUUUUUGUUUUUCUCAUCUUCUCUAGAAGAAAUAAAAUGAUGCUGUCAGCGGACUGCUUUGUUAAUGUUGAUUUUUAGAGUUAGUCUAAAAAAGAUAUUUUCUUUUUCAUGUUUACACUCUGGAGGCAAGGUAAAAACCACUGGCUCAAUCUUUGAACUAAAAAAAAAAAAAAGUUGGGGGGGAACUUGUGGUGCACUUUUAUUUCAUGCAGGAGUUCAUCCUACAACCUUGAAAAGUCUCCCAGGGAAGUCUCCAUAGUUGUUAGAUUAUUUCAAUCUAUCUAACAACUUUACUAACCUAAGCUCUGCCAGAGCUUUAAGUAAUCCUGGACUCUGAAGUGGUAAGUCGUCUUGCAGGCUCAUAGUAAUAAAUGCCUUGAACAUAUUUAUUGGUUAAUUGAUUUGAUUCUCAUUGAGAGAUGGAUGGGCAAUUUGACACUUGCAAGGGAAAAAAAGGUGAAGAAUUCAUCCAAUGUCUAUACUCUCUUAAUCAUUAGGGUAGUCACCUCAGGCACUGGUAGCAUGGCUUCAAAGUGAUACUGACUUCAGGGAGAGCAGAAAUAAUAAAGUUUUGAUAAGUUUCUGAAAUCUUAAAUUAUGAAUAUAUUUACUUGAAUACCUUUGUCACUCAACAUGUUUGUACGCUCUAAUGUUAACAGUGUAGUUCAAGCAGCAACAGAAGAAAUCCAUAUAUGUAUUUGAUAUUACUUAUUUUCAACUCCUGAGGUAAGUGAAUGUGAAGGAAGGCCAUGAAAUGCUCUUCCUUUCCUCUUACACUUGUAUUCAUUUUUCCUGGAAAACCUAUUUACGAAAAUUAAUUUACUGAUCUUUGUAAAUUUCUGUUCUUAAUUUCUGUCAAGAUCACCUGUGAGAACUUGAAGUAUUUUAACACUCUACUUAACACAGCUUGUUCUGAGUUUUCAUUCCUCAGAUUAUUCAGUACACAUAUUUUCAAGUCACUUAACCAAAAGUUUCAUGAAAUUCAGGUCCUUGCACUAGCAUAAUUUUGUUAAGAUAAGUCCUUCAAAUUAAUGCGUUGUCGUGGUUUAGUUGAUGUUAUCACAAACAAACUUUUUUGGGAGGAAAAAGGAGAGAUUACUUGACUGAGAUAAGGAGAGAUAACUAAUUUAUUAUAAAUGGUCAAAGAACAUAAGAUAAUAGGGUAUAAAAGGGAAUUAUGGGUAAUAGGUAAAACAAAUGGGAGAGAAAGGAGAUCUGAUCAUGCUACUUACCAUACUGCCCAGAAAUGGAAAAGAGUGUUUUCUGCUGUUGCUGUGUUAUUCUACCUCUUUCACCCAGAAUCAGAAAUCACAUGGGGAGUACUGGGAAUUGUAGUCUCUCUUUUCUCAGCGUAUCUUCCUCUUGGAGAGCCAGAACCCAUGUGAGAAUAGCUGAGACCCAGGAUGUGCAGUUACCCAGUACUGUAGUCCAGUACUAAUCGCUUGCUGUGAGAUGUCAUGAUGUGGAAUACCAAUGAAAGCAGGACAUAUGCCUAUGAAUGUCCAUCUGCAAGUCCAGGAUACUCAGGUGGCUGAGGAUUUAAAAUGCUCAAGAAAUAAGCUAUGCUAAGUCAUAUUCCAAAUUGUUCAUCUUCAAGACUAUACAUAGUUU